rnacentral:piRNA from 1 species
UCCUUUUGACUAACAUUUGGAAAGGUGAUU